rnacentral:rRNA from 1 species
CCUACGGGGUGCAGCAGUGGGGAAUCUUGCGCAAUGGGGGCAACCCUGACGCAGCCAUGCCGCGUGAAUGAUGAAGGCCUUAGGGUUGUAAAGUUCUUUUGCCCGUGACGAUGAUGACGGUAACGGGAGAAUAAGCUCCGGCUAACUUCGUGCCAGCAGCCGCGGUAAUACGAAGGGGGCUAGCGUUGUUCGGAAUUACUGGGCGUAAAGCGCGCGCAGGCGGUUUUGUAAGUUAGGGGUGAAAUCCCCGGGCUCAACCCGGGAAUGGCCUUUAAGACUGCAAGGCUAGAGGACGAGAGAGGUGAGUGGAAUUCCCAGUGUAGAGGUGAAAUUCGUAGAUAUUGGGAAGAACACCGGUGGCGAAGGCGGCUCACUGGCUCGUUUCUGACGCUGAGGCGCGAAAGCGUGGGGAGCAAACAGGAUUAGAUACCCCAGUAGUC